AAGUCGUAACAAGGUUUCCGUAGGUGAACCUGCGGAAGGAUCAUUAUUGAAAAAGACUAGACGCCCCGUUUUUUCAUAAAAUGGGUUCAAUACCCACAACCGUGUAUACCUUACCUUUGUUGCUUUGGCAGGCCGCCUCCGGGCGUCGGCUCCGGCUGACUGCGCCUGCCAGAGGACCCAAACUCUGUGUUUAGUGAUGUCUGAGUACUAUAUAAUAGUUAAAACUUUCAACAACGGAUCUCUUGGUUCUG
rnacentral:misc_RNA from 1 species